UACGUAUGGAGCAAGCGUUAUCCGGAUUUACUGGGUGUAAAGGGAGUGUAGGCGGCAUGGCAAGUCUGAUGUGAAAAUCCGGGGCUUAACCCCGGACCUGCAUUGGAAACUGUCAGGCUGGAGUGUCGGAGAGGUAAGUGGAAUUCCUAGUGUAGCGGUGAAAUGCGUAGAUAUUAGGAGGAACACCAGUGGCGAAGGCGGCUUACUGGACGACAACUGACGCUGAGGCUCGAAAGCGUGGGUAGCGAACAGG
rnacentral:rRNA from 1 species